rnacentral:rRNA from 1 species
AGAGUUUGAUUAUGGCUCAGGAUGAACGCUGGCGGCGUGCCUAACACAUGCAAGUCGAGCGGAGUUAACAGAAGAUUCUCGGAUGAUUUGUAACUUAGCGGCGGAUGGGUGAGUAACACGUGGGUAAUCUGCCCUGCACAGGGGGAUAACAGCUGGAAACGGCUGUUAAUACCGCAUAUGCACACGUUAUCGCAUGAUAGAGUGUGGAAAGAUUUAUCGGUGCAGGAUGAGCCCGCGUCGGAUUAACUAGUUGGCAGGGUAACGGCCUACCAAGGUGAUGAUCCGUAGCCGGCCUGAGAGGGCGACCGGCCACAUUGGGACUGAGACACGGCCCAAACUCCUACGGGAGGCAGCAGUGGGGAAUAUUGCACAAUGGGCGCAAGCCCUGAUGCAGCGACGCCGCGUGAAGGAAGACGUAUUUCGGUAUGUAAACUUCUAUCAGCGGGGAAGAAGAUGACGGUACCCGACUAAGAAGCCCCGGCUAACUACGUGCCAGCAGCCGC